rnacentral:rRNA from 1 species
AGUGAACGCUGGCGGUAGGCCUAACACAUGCAAGUCGAACGGCAGCACAGUAAGAGCUUGCUCUUACGGGUGGCGAGUGGCGGACGGGUGAGGAAUACAUCGGAAUCUACUUUUUCGUGGGGGAUAACGUAGGGAAACUUACGCUAAUACCGCAUACGACCUACGGGUGAAAGCAGGGGAUCUUCGGACCUUGCGCGAUUGAAUGAGCCGAUGUCGGAUUAGCUAGUUGGCGGGGUAAAGGCCCACCAAGGCGACGAUCCGUAGCUGGUCUGAGAGGAUGAUCAGCCACACUGGAACUGAGACACGGUCCAGACUCCUACGGGAGGCAGCAGUGGGGAAUAUUGGACAAUGGGCGCAAGCCUGAUCCAGCCAUACCGCGUGGGUGAAGAAGGCCUUCGGGUUGUAAAGCCCUUUUGUUGGGAAAGAAAAGCAGCAGGUUAAGACCCCGCUGUUCGGACGGGACCCAAAGAAGAAGCACCGGCUAACUUCGU